ACAGUAGUGAUUUAGUGGUAGAAUUCUUGACUUCCAUGCAGAAGACCUGGGUUUGAUUCCUGGCCAAUGCA
rnacentral:tRNA from 1 species